UAUUCUGAUGCCCUGAUGUUGGAAUCAAUAGAGGAUGGACAUAGAAAAAAAAUCAAGAAUUCUACAUCAUUUUGAUGAAUCAGGCAGCAUGCUGGGACACUGAAGACACAAAGACAUCAUAGUCGGGGGAGAUAAGUUGUCGGGGAAGUAGGAGGAGACGCCCUUUCAACCUGUACCCUAAGGAAGUUUGACUCUUCCAGCAAUUUUGAGAGAAGCUUGGAAAGCAUGAAACGUGCUGACAUUCUAGCAGUCUUGGUGUGUACAAAGUUCUCAACCUGUAAUCAUCUAGGAAUGCAAUUCUGGGAAUA